rnacentral:rRNA from 1 species
UCUUGCUGCUCUAACGGGUAGCGAGAGGUGUAGCGUGUAGUAGGCGAUUUUCCUUGAUGUUUGUCGACUUAAAUUCUCCUUGACUGGGGUUCCAGAGAAGGUGAAAGGCCUGUUCAGUCGAUGGGUGUCUUGGAUUCCGCUCUACUUGGAGUCGGGUUGUUUGGGAACGCAGCCCAAAUUUGGUGGUAAACUUCAUCUAAGGCUAAAUACGGCCACGAGACCGAUAGCAAACAAGUACCGUGAGGGAAAGUUGAAAAGUACUUUGAAGAGAGAGUUCAAGAGGACGUGAAACCGGUAGGAUGGAAACGGAUAGAGCCAACGAACAAGCCCGUAUUCAGCUAGUCGGCUGCGUGCGGCACGCCUGUGCGCUCGAUAGGGUGUAUUGGUGUGUGCGGUAUGCGGUUCUUGGCUAGUGCAUUUGCGGGUGAUGUGCGCCGAGGCGCGUGGUGGUGUCCAGCGAACCGUCUGGAGAGGACUUGCCUUCGGGCUUGAAACCUACAGGCGGGGAGUAGGGUUACUGCUGCACGUAGUCUCGUGACUAGGUGCAAACGCGGUGUCGUGCUGUCGGGCUAGCUGCUCGGUCGGUCGCAUGCGACUAGGCCUUGUUGGUUGGUCUUGGUGGUGCGGUACUGCCCUGGUCUACCCUCGGUGUAAAAGUUGGUCAUCUCUCCGACCCGUCUUGAAACACGGACCAAGGAGUCUAGCGUAUACGCGAGUCAUUGGGUGGAAAACCCAUAGGCGCAAUGAAAGUGAAGGUCCUCUUUACGAGGCUGAUAUGCGACCCGUUGCACUUCGGUGUACGCGGAGCAGCAUAGCCCCGUCUCGACUGCUUGCAGUGGGGCGGAGGUAGAGCGUAUGCGCUGGUACCCGAAAGAUGGUGAACUAUGCCUGAGCAGGAUGAAGCCAGAGGAAACUCUGGUGGAGGUCCGAAGCGCUUCUGACGUGCAAAUCGAUCGUAUGACUUGGGUAUAGGGGCGAAAGACUAAUCGAACCAUCUAGUAGCUGGUUCCCUCCGAAGUUUCCCCCAGGAUAGCUGGAGCCUAAUUAUAUAGUUAUACUCGGUAAAGCGAACGAUUAGAGGACUUGGGGCCAAAAGGCCUUAACCUAUUCUCAAACUCUCAAUGGGUAUGAAGUCUUAGUUGCUUGAUUGAACUAGGACGUUGUAUAAGGGCUCCAAGUGGGCCAUUUUUGGUAAGCAGAACUGGCGCUGUGGGAUGAACCAAACGCGGAGUUAAGGUGCCAAACUCUCCGCUCAUUAGACCCCAUGAAAGGUGUUGGUUGAUAUUGACAGCAGGACGGUGGCCAUGGAAGUCGGAAUCCGCUAAGGAGUGUGUAACAACUCACCUGCCGAAUCAACUAGCCCUGAAAAUGGAUGGCGCUGGAGCGGGGGACCUAUACUCUGCCGUUAUGGCUUGAGAGCUCCUGGUAAAUGGGGCCUCCUGGCUGUAACGAGUAGGAGGGUUGUGACGGUUAGCGUCGAAGGCUUUGGGCGUGAGCCCGGCUGGAGCUUCCGUUAGUACAGAUCUUGGUGGUAGUAGCAAAUAUUCAAGUGAGAUCCUUGAAGACUGAAGUGGAGAAGGGUUCCACGUGAACAGCAGUUGAAUGUGGGUCAGUCGGUCCUAAGCCAUCGGCUAAUGCCGUAGUAAACGAGGGUGGAGCUUCUGGUUCCGCUCGGUUGGCGAAAGGGAAGCGGGUUAAUAUUCCCGCACCAGGACACGGAGAUGACUUGCCUUUACGGUUAGUCAAGGGCGGCAACGCAAACGAAGUCGCAGACGCUGCAUGAAGUCCGAGCCAGAGUUCUCUUUUCUGGUUUAGGAGUCUAAUCCCUGGAAAGGGUUCAGCCCAAGAUAGGGACGUUGGCUCCGUAAAGCACCGCGGUUCCUGUGGUGUCUCGUGCGCUUCAUGUGGCCCUUGAAAAUGCGACGGAGCCUUAAUGAAUUUCGUGCCUGGCCGUACCGAUAUCCGCAGCAGGUCUCCAAGGUGAACAGCCUCUAGUCGAUAGAAUAAUGUAGGUAAGGGAAGUCGGCAAAUUAGAUCCGUAACUUCGGGAAAAGGAUUGGCUCUAAGGGUUGGGCCGAUCGGGCUGUUGUGCAAAACUUGCUGGCUUUGCCCAUGGCUGCGGGAGGCUCACGCCGAACGCGGACUAGCGGUAAGGCCGGCUUGUGGAGCGCUUCAGCUGCGUGCAGGUUUCGGCCUGUACUUCGGUCGGCAAGAAACAACCGACUUAGAACUGGCACGGACUCGGGGAAUCCGACUGUCUAAUUAAAACAGAGGAGACGGAUGGUCCUUGCGGACGUUGACCGUCUCUGAUUUCUGCCCAGUGCUCUGAAUGUUAACUUAAGGAAACUUAAUUAAGCGCGGGUAAACGGCGGGAGUAACUAUGACUCUCUUAAGGUAGCCAAAUGCCUCGUCAUCUAAUUAGUGACGCGCAUGAAUGGAUUAACGAGAUUCCCACUGUCCCUAUCUACUAUCUAGCGAAACCACAGCCAAGGGAACGGGCUUGGCAAAUACAGCGGGGAAAGAAGACCCUGUUGAGCUUGACUCUAGUCUGACUCUGUGAAGAAUCAUGAGAGGUGUAGCAUAAGUGGGAGGUUUCGGCCGCCAGUGAAAUACCACUACUUUCAUCGAUUCCUUACUUAUUCGGUAAGACGGGAAUUGAACUUCAAUGUUCUUGAUUUUGGUGUUAAGGAUACCCACUUGGUGGGCGUCCGACCCGCGCCGACGACCGUGUCAGGCGGGGAGUUUGACUGGGGCGGUACAUCUGUCAAAUCGUAACGCAGGUGUCCUAAGGCGAGCUCAGAGAGGACGGAAACCUCUCGUAGAGUAAAAGGGCAAAAGCUCACUUGAUCUUGAUUUUCAGUACGAAUACAGACCGCGAAAGCGUGGCCUAUCGAUCCUUUUGAAUUAGAAAGUUUCUAGCAAGAGGUGUCAGAAAAGUUACCACAGGGAUAACUGGCUUGUGGCAGCCAAGCGUCCAUAGCGACGUUGCUUUUUGAUCCUUCGAUGUCGGNNNNNNNNNNNNNNNNNNNNNNNNNNNNNCCAAGCGUUGGAUUGUUCACCCACCAAUAGGGAACGUGAGCUGGGUUUAGACCGUCGUGAGACAGGUUAGUUUUACCCUACUGUAGACGAGCUGUUACGAUAGUAAUCCUGCUUAGUACGAGAGGAACUGCAGGUUCAGACAUUUGGUUCAUGUGCUUGGUCGAUAGACCAAUGGUGCGAAGCUACCAUCUGAGGGAUUAUGACUGAACGCCUCUAAGUCAGAAUCCCGCCUAGUCAAUGUAACAGUACUUUUGCUCCCCGGUGUCGGGAGGCACUUCUAUGCAUCGCUUGCGGUGCAGCAUAUGCCCCAGUAUCUGGCCUGGUCGAGUAGCCUAAUCGUUGCUCGAUUGCCAAAGCCAUAUCACUAUGGUGAAACGUCGGGGUGCAAGAUCACUUGUAAACGACUUGAUUACUGGUCAAGGGGUUGUAUCCGGUAGAGCAGUG